rnacentral:rRNA from 1 species
UGGCGGCGUGCUAAACACAUGCAAGUCGAACGAUUAAGACGGCUUCGGCCGCGUAUAGAGUGGCGAACGGGUGAGUAACACGUGACCAACCUGCCCCGCGCUCCGGGACAACCGCUGGAAACGGCGGCUAAUACCGGAUGCUCCGGGGAGGCCCCAUGGCCUCCCUGGGAAAGCCUUAACGGCGCGGGAUGGGGUCGCGGCCCAUUAGGUAGACGGCGGGGUAACGGCCCACCGUGCCCGCGAUGGGUAGCCGGACUGAGAGGUCGACCGGCCACAUUGGGACUGAGAUACGGCCCAGACUCCUACGGGAGGCAGCAGUGGGGAAUUUUGCGCAAUGGGGGAAACCCUGACGCAGCAACGCCGCGUGCGGGACGAAGGCCUUCGGGUUGUAAACCGCUUUCAGCAGGGAAGACAUAGACGGUACCUGCAGAAGAAGCUCCGGCUAACUACGUGCCAGCAGCCGCGGUAAUACGUAGGGGGCGAGCGUUAUCCGGAUUCAUUGGGCGUAAAGCGCGCGUAGGCGGCCGCCUAAGCGGAACCUCUAAUCCCGGGGCUCAACCUCGGGCCGGGUUCCGGACUGGGCGGCUCGAGUGCGGUAGAGGCAGGCGGAAUUCCCGGUGUAGCGGUGGAAUGCGCAGAUAUCGGGAAGAACACCGAUGGCGAAGGCAGCCUGCUGGGCCGCCACUGACGCUGAGGCGCGAAAGCUGGGGGAGCGAACAGGAUUAGAUACCCUGGUAGUCCCAGCCGUAAACGAUGGACCGCUAGGUGUGGGGGGGACCAUCCCCCCCGUGCCGCAGCCAACGCAUUAAGCGUCCCGCCUGGGGAGUACGGCCGCAAGGCUAAAAACUCAAAGGAAUUGACGGGGGCCCGCACAAGCAGCGGAGCAUGUGGCUUAAUUCGAAGCAACGCGAAGAACCUUACCAGGGCUUGACAUGCGAGUGAAGCCGCGGAGACGCGGUGGCCGAGAGGAACUCGCGCAGGUGGUGCAUGGCUGUCGUCAGCUCGUGUCGUGAGAUGUUGGGUUAAGUCCCGCAACGAGCGCAACCCCCGUCCCGUGUUGCCAGCAUUGAGUUGGGGACUCGCGGGAGACUGCCGGCGUCAAGCCGGAGGAAGGUGGGGACGACGUCAAGUCAUCAUGCCCCUUAUGCCUUGGGCUGCACACGUGCUACAAUGGCCGGUACAGAGGGUUGCCACCCCGCGAGGGGGAGCGGAUCCCGGAAAGCCGGCCCCAGUUCGGAUCGCAGGCUGCAACCCGCCUGCGUGAAGUCGGAGUUGCUAGUAAUCGCGGAUCAGCAUGCCGCGGUGAAUACGUUCCCGGGCCUUGCACA